AUGGACCUCCUGCAAAUCGCCGGAACGCAAUUCCUCGACAGGGAAGUUUGUUUGCACCACUCUGGAUUAGUUUCAAACCCGGACGUCAAGGAACCGAACCCGACAGAGGGAGAGGUCAAGAUGAAUGUAGAUGGGGCAGCGGCCAUGUCCUCCAACAUGAGUGCUGUGGGCGUUGUGUGCCGCAGUGCAGCCGGGCUGUUUUUGGGUGCUUCUGCUGUGGUUUUUCAAGGGGUGACUGAACCGACGACUUUGGAAGCAUAUGCUUGCAGGGAGGCUCUCGCAUUAGCUAAGGAUUUGGUCAUGAACAAAGUGCGCAUUGCAUCUGACUGUCUGAGAGUCAUAAACAACCUAAGAGCUCGGUGCAUCUUGGCGAUUAUUGCAUGA
rnacentral:rRNA from 1 species